rnacentral:rRNA from 1 species
GACGAACGCUGGCGGCGUGCUUAACACAUGCAAGUCGAACGGAAAGGCCCUGCUUUUGUGGGGUGCUCGAGUGGCGAACGGGUGAGUAACACGUGAGUAACCUGCCCUUGACUUUGGGAUAACUUCAGGAAACUGGGGCUAAUACCGGAUAGGAGCUCCUGCUGCAUGGCGUGGGUUGGAAAGUUUCGGCGGUUGGGGAUGGACUCGCGGCUUAUCAGCUUGUUGGUGGGGUAGUGGCUUACCAAGGCUUUGACGGGUAGCCGGCCUGAGAGGGUGACCGGCCACAUUGGGACUGAGAUACGGCCCAGACUCCUACGGGGGGCAGCAGUGGGGAAGAUAGCACAAUGGGCGGAAGCCGGAUGCAGCAACGCCGCGUGCGGGAUGACGGCCGUCGGGUUGGAAACCGCUUUCGCCUGGGACGAAGCGUGAGUGACGGUAAUGGAUAAAGAAGCACCGGCUAACUACGUG